AGCAAGUAGAGUGGCGCACGGGUGAGUAACACGUAGGUAAUCUACCUUUGGAUAGGGAAUAACACCGAGAAAUCGGUGCUAAUACCGAAUAAUGCAGCGGCACCUAAUGGUGACAGUUGUUAAAGCGGGGGAUCGCAAGACCUCGCGUCUAAAGAGGAGCCUGCGGCGGAUUAGCUAGUUGGUAAGGUAACGGCUUACCAAGGCGAUGAUCCGUAGCCGGCCUGAGAGGGCGGUCGGCCACACUGACACUGACAUACGGGUCAGACUCCUACGGGAGGCAGCAGUCGGGAAUUUUGGGCAAUGGGCGAAAGCCUGACCCAGAAACGCCGCGUGAAGGAUGAAAUCCCUCGGGAUGUAAACUUCGCAAGAACGGGAAGAAUAAGUCGGUGCUAACACCCAUCGGCGAUGACGGUACUGAAAGUAAGCUCCGGCUAACUCCGUGCCAGCAGCCGCGGUACUAACGGGGGGAGCAAGCGUAGUUCGGAUUUACUGGGCGUAAAGGGCGCGUAGGCGGUCACCGAAAGUCGACUGUGAAAUCUCCGGGCUUUACUCGGAAAGGUCAGCCGAUACUGCGGGGCUAGAGUGCAGAAAGGGCAACUGGAAUUCUCGGUGUAGCGGUGAAAUG
rnacentral:rRNA from 1 species